GGUGGCUUAGUGGUAAAGUUCUUGCCUUGCAUGCAUGAGGCUCUGGGUUCAAUUCCUCAGCACCA
rfam:Dipodomys ordii contig_48820, whole genome shotgun sequence.